CGUUAGCUCAGUCGGUAGAGCAUCUGACUUUUAAUCAGGUGGUCGCAGGUUCGAUCCCUGCACGGC
rnacentral:tRNA from 1 species